AGUGAACGCUGGCGGUAGGCCUAACACAUGCAAGUCGAACGGCAGCACAGUAAGAGCUUGCUCUUACGGGUGGCGAGUGGCGGACGGGUGAGGAAUACAUCGGAAUCUACUUUUUCGUGGGGGAUAACGUAGGGAAACUUACGCUAAUACCGCAUACGACCUACGGGUGAAAGCAGGGGAUCUUCGGACCUUGCGCGAUUGAAUGAGCCGAUGUCGGAUUAGCUAGUUGGCGGGGUAAAGGCCCACCAAGGCGACGAUCCGUAGCUGGUCUGAGAGGAUGAUCAGCCACACUGGAACUGAGACACGGUCCAGACUCCUACGGGAGGCAGCAGUGGGGAAUAUUGGAUAAUGGGCGCAAGCCUGAUCCAGCCAUACCGCGUGGGUAAAGAAGGCCUUCGGGUUGUAAAGCCCUUUUGUUGGGAAAGAAAAGCAGCAGGUUAAUACCCCGCUGUUCUGACGGUACCCAAAGAAUAAGCACCGGCUAACUUCGUG
rnacentral:rRNA from 1 species